CAGCAUCGCACAUUCUAUAUGUUGAUGACACCUUUUCGAUGAUGACCUGUACAUCUUCCACAUUUUUGUAGUGGAAGACAAUGAAAUUUAUGCUCGAAAUGGCCCCAUUCCAGUGGAACUCGUUGAUGGUGCAGGGAACUAGAUAUGCCCCUUUGGUUGUACCACACUUAACUUGCUGCCACCACAUGAAGCCCAAAUAGUUGUGCAUGCAUAGAAGAUGGCGAUGCUGUAGGGCACAAAACUAGAAGACUUUUUAUAGUGGGGAAAGGAAUUAGGUACGUGGGGGCACGUCAAAGGCAUUUGAAAUGAUCGAUACAGACUAUAUAAUGAGGAAUCCAACAUGUAGAGAGAAGAAUGAUACUUGAAAGUAGGACGGUGACAAACGUAGUGAGGGGAGUCCAUCUCCCUCGCUACGUAUUCCUCUCUACCAACUUUCUGUGAUAGUAUUUUGCACCGAACCCAUGUCUCGGACAAGCAAAGAGUGAGAGAGAUGCUCACUUGGUCGACUAUCACGUUGACACACACAAGUCCGUAUUUGCUCAGUAGUAGCUUACCAUCUCCGAGUCGUCAAUGGAGACCGGUUCGGCUGCAUAAAGAUAACUCUGCCCUUCGCUGACCCGAAUAGAGAAGAAUUUAGGAUGGCGACGGAACUGAAGCUGUUCCGGAAUGCCGGCCAAUCUCAAAGAUCAAGAUUUGUGGUGUUCGUCACUUUCUUUCUCUAUGACCUUCAUGGUGAUGCCGCGGCCUCUCACUUCCCCAUCUCGUAUGUUCCUCCGAUCUCGGCCACUUUUCCUCUCUGCUGAUUCUGCUUGGUUCCAUUAGUUUGCUUACGAAGCUCUGCCGCCAAAUGUGUCAUUAUGUUCACUGGCAUUGCGGUCAGCUCAAUGCUGCGUCCUCAGAGAUCAGAAUGUUUUCCUGCCAAAGCAAGGUAGAAAAGCCAGUUGCAAUGCUCUGCUUAUGAUCUGCGAACUACAGCAUGCAAAGCUAUUCUUCACUCGAGUUCAUCUCCGCAAGAAAAUAGGGAACAUCAAGAGAACCAGCUCAGAUGAAAUUUAGGAAAGCAAGUACAAGAAAACUGCAACAUCAGAAGUUAAGAAACCAAAUCUGGUGAAGUUAAUAUGCAGAAGUAAUUUUGGUUUUAAAUGAUAAAGAUUAAAAACGAGGGGAGGCAGCAGAAGUCCAUAAACAUGUUGUUGUGAUGCUACUCUGGUCUUUGAAUCCAUCUUCGAAUACACAUGCAUACACGAAACAUGCAUAGGUGAGGACGAGAGAGGGGCGCAGGAAGGACAAUUAUCGAUCCACCAUUUGCAUCGUGCUCCACGCCAUCCCGACGUAAAAAAGAGCUGCUCUGCAAGUCUGCGAAAUAGCCAUUGCAGCGGACGGACGCCCCACCGGCAUGAUGGAGCAAUAAUAUACUGUGUGGCAUGUGAUCUCUACGCAGAAUUGCCUUAUAAUGUGACAAGCGGCUGCUCUCCCGAGAAUCACCACAAAGUUGAAGCAGUAAAACUUGGCCUUUUUCUUUUGCUUUUAGCUGGUUGGCCCCAGGUCAUGAUCAUUACCUGAGGAUGCUACUUCCAAGAAUAGAUUCUGCUGAUCCUUGGCUGCCCAUGGUGAUGAUGAGCCUUCUUUUCCUUGCAAGUUUCUUCAGCUGCGAUAUGGGAUUCAUUCGUCGGUAAAAGAGAGAACGGUGACCACUUACGCGAGAGGUGGCUUCUUGGUGUGGGCACGCAGUUGCCAUCCUUCUCUGAUAGCUCCUCGACACCAAACCAAAAUGGCUGAAUAGCAUGUUCAUGCAUCUGAUUUGACUUCUGCCAAAUCUGAUUUGACAACUAUUGCAGAUUGGUAACCAUGUAUCUUUCAACUCUCUUGCGAUAAUGUCGAGAGACUUCAUUAGGCAUCCCUAAUCUCACACUCUCCUAAAAAGAUUGUAAGCUGCAGUACACUAUGUUUACGCAGAAUGCAGGAAAUAAUAUGAAUCUAUGAUCCCGUAUCCCAUAUACCAACAUAUCCCAGUUCCCACGAGGCAAUAAUUGGAGAUCACAAAGAAGUGGCAUCAAUAGUUAAGCAAGCAUCCUCCAACAAAGUUGGCAUCAGACUUUUGGGUAGCCAUGAAUGAGAUGUGUCAAUCUGCAGGCAAUGUGCCAAGUUCUUAUGCCCUGAGAUAACUCCUUUGAUUCAAUUUCCCAGUAUGAGUGACUAAUUACACCUGUGUAAGAUCCAAAUGCUAUUGUCCGAUCCAGAGGCACACUUGGAAGAAUUUUCUUGCAGCCAGAUAAAAACCGAAUGCAAAAAAAAUAAAA